UUUAUUCUUUAAAUCUUAUUUUAUAUGUUAUUUGGUUAAUAUAAUAAUAAUGAACGCCCAACAAACUGGGCACAGGUCGGCUUGUUUGUAUAUAAAUAUGUAUAUAUUUAUUUUUUUCUAAAAUAAAGUAAAAUAAUGAUUUAUAAGCAAGCGCAUCACCUGUAGUGUAGUGAUAGAUAACUAUUAUGUUUGUCUUAGUAAAUAAGUUAUAAUAUCUCAUGUAUUUUGAGUAGAUAAUAAAUAUGAUCGUUGAACUA